ensembl:lncRNA
CUAUGACUAAUAUGAUUUCAAUUGCAAGAGCCACAGAGGAUUCCAGAUACCCCACCAAACAUGAGGUCGAGACCACGGCUCAAUGAUUGGUGGAGUACGACCCAAUGAUAAAAGACAGGUCAUCUGACAGAGCAUGUUACUAAAAAGCUAAUGAAGAGACUCUCAAAUGUCAGAAGGCCAAAUGGAUGCAGAUGUUAGAACCAGUGACUACGAUGGAGAUUCCAGUGCAUCAACCAUUAUUCUGGAACAGUUACCUAAUAGAGCCAGCACCCCAGUACAACACCAGAAUAGCAGUGAUGAAGCAAAUGACCUCUCGGACAGCCAGAAAACCCAGGUGAGACACUACAAGACUCUCCAAGAAAUGUACAAGUCUACGAAGCCGCACAAAGCUGCAAUAACUCAUAUGCUGGACCUGGAGUUCGAAUCUCGAAGACGCUUCAUUAUCUCAGAUGUUUUAAAGGAGCAAGACAGACCGACAAAGGUUCUUGAGGCUUACCCAUGUUUCAGAGAAGUGGAUCAUGUCCUGGAUGAACUCUGGAGAAUUAUUCAACCAACCAAUUUGCGGUACAUCUCUGAGGUGAAGGACAGAUGGG